AUCCAGCCGACGAGUCUCAAAUGGGACGAAACACUAGUCCUGGAU
rnacentral:hammerhead_ribozyme from 1 species